CGCGAAAACUUUACAAUGCUGGCAACAGCGAUAAGGGAACCUCGAGUGCCAGGUUACAAAUCUGACUGUCGAGAUGCCUAAAAAGCAUUUCAUAGCAAGGGCCGGGCAAGACCGGUGCCAGCCGCCGCGGUAACACCGGCGGCUCGAGUGGUAACCGUUAUUAUUGGGUCUAAAGGGUCUGUAGCCGGCCGGAUAAGUCUCUUGGGAAAUCUGGCAGCUCAACUGUCAGGCUUUCAGGAGAUACUGUCUGGCUCGAGGCCGGGAGAGGUGAGAGGUACUUCAGGGGUAGGGGUGAAAUCUUGUAAUCCUUGAAGGACCACCAGUGGCGAAGGCGUCUCACCAGAACGGACCUGACGGCAAGGGACGAAAGCUAGGGGCACGAACCGGAUUAGAUACCCGGGUAGUCCUAGCCGUAAACGAUACUCGCUAGGUGUCGGCCACGGUGCGACCGUGGUCGGUGCCGUAGGGAAGCCGUGAAGCGAGCCACCUGGGAAGUACGGCCGCAAGGCUGAAACUUAAAGGAAUUGGCGGGGGAGCACCACAACGGGUGGAGCUUGCGGUUUAAUUGGAUUCA
rnacentral:rRNA from 1 species